rnacentral:ncRNA from 1 species
UCAAAUAAAACUUAGCCUAUAUAAUGUCUUAAUCUGGUUGACAGUUUCUACCCAACGCCGUAAAUGUUGGACUAUAGGAAAACUAACU